rnacentral:rRNA from 1 species
AAUGGGUCAGCGACUUAUAUUCUGUAGCAAGGUUAACCGAAUAGGGGAGCCGAAGGGAAACCGAGUCUUAACUGGGCGUUAAGUUGCAGGGUAUAGACCCGAAACCCGGUGAUCUAGCCAUGGGCAGGUUGAAGGUUGGGUAACACUAACUGGAGGACCGAACCGACUAAUGUUGAAAAAUUAGCGGAUGACUUGUGGCUGGGGGUGAAAGGCCAAUCAAACCGGGAGAUAGCUGGUUCUCCCCGAAAGCUAUUUAGGUAGCGCCUCGUGAAUUCAUCUCCGGGGGUAGAGCACUGUUUCGGCAAGGGGGUCAUCCCGACUUACCAACCCGAUGCAAACUGCGAAUACCGGAGAAUGUUAUCACGGGAGACACACGGCGGGUGCUAACGUCCGUCGUGAAGAGGGAAACAACCCAGACCGCCAGCUAAGGUCCCAAAGUCAUGGUUAAGUGGGAAACGAUGUGGGAAGGCCCAGACAGCCAGGAUGUUGGCUUAGAAGCAGCCAUCAUUUAAAGAAAGCGUAAUAGCUCACUGGUCGAGUCGGCCUGCGCGGAAGAUGUAACGGGGCUAAACCAUGCACCGAAGCUGCGGCAGCGACACUAUGUGUUGUUGGGUAGGGGAGCGUUCUGUAAGCCUGUGAAGGUGUACUGUGAGGUAUGCUGGAGGUAUCAGAAGUGCGAAUGCUGACAUAAGUAACGAUAAAGCGGGUGAAAAGCCCGCUCGCCGGAAGACCAAGGGUUCCUGUCCAACGUUAAUCGGGGCAGGGUGAGUCGACCCCUAAGGCGAGGCCGAAAGGCGUAGUCGAUGGGAAACAGGUUAAUAUUCCUGUACUUGGUGUUACUGCGAAGGGGGGACGGAGAAGGCUAUGUUGGCCGGGCGACGGUUGUCCCGGUUUAAGCGUGUAGGCUGGUUUUCCAGGCAAAUCCGGAAAAUCAAGGCUGAGGCGUGAUGACGAGGCACUACGGUGCUGAA